UGCAGAAUCCCGCGAACCAUCGAGUCUUUGAACGCAAGUUGCGCCCGAGGCCAUUCGGCCGAGGGCACGCCUGCCUGGGCGUCACGCUAAACACGCUCCCAACCCCUUACGGGGGAACAGGAUGCGGCAUUUGGCUCCCCGUCACCCAAGGGCGGUGGGCCGAAGAUAUGGCUGCCGGCGCAUCGUGUCGGACACAGCGCGUGGUGAGCGUCCUCGCUAUACUUACCGCAGUGUCUCCGACACAUAGCCGGCGUGAUGGCCUAGAAAGACCCUUGUAACGGUGCGCAUGACGCUCCGACCGCGACCCCAGGUCAGGCGGGACUACCCGCUGAAUUUAAGCAUAUAAAUAAGCGGAGGAGAAGAAACUUACAAGGAUUCCCCUAGUAACGGCGAGCGAACCGGGAACAGCCCAGCUUGAGAAUCGGGCGGCCCUGUCGUUCGA
rnacentral:rRNA from 1 species